rnacentral:rRNA from 1 species
UACGUAGGGGGCAAGCGUUGUCCGGAAUCAUUGGGCGUAAAGAGCGUGUAGGCGGCCAAGCAGGUCCGCUGUGAAAACUCGAGGCUCAACCUCGAGACGUCGGUGGAAACCGUUUGGCUAGAGUCCGGAAGAGGAGAGUGGAAUUCCCGGUGUAGCGGUGAAAUGCGCAGAUAUCGGGAAGAACACCCGUGGCGAAGGCGGCUCUCUGGGACGGUACUGGACGCUGAGACGGCGAAAGCGUGGGGAGCGAACAGG